CACCGCGUGAGUGAAGAAGGGUUUCGGCUCGUAAAGCUCUGUUGUUAGAGAAGAACGUGCGUGAGAGCAACUGUUCACGCAGUGACGGUAUCUAACCAGAAAGUCACGGCUAACUACGUGCCAGCAGCCGCGGUAAUACGUAGGUGGCAAGCGUUAUCCGGAUUUAUUGGGCGUAAAGCGAGCGCAGGCGGUUUGAUAAGUCUGAUGUGAAAGCCUUUGGCUUAACCAAAGAAGUGCAUCGGAAACUGUCAGACUUGAGUGCAGAAGAGGACAGUGGAACUCCAUGUGUAGCGGUGGAAUGCGUAGAUAUAUGGAAGAACACCAGUGGCGAAGGCGGCUGUCUGGUCUGCAACUGACGCUGAGGCUCGAAAGCAUGGGUAGCGAACAGGAUUAGAUACCCUGGUAGUCCAUGCCGUAAACGAUGAGUGCUAGGUGUUGGAGGGUUUCCGCCCUUAGUGCCGCAGCUAACGCAUUAAGCACUCCGCCUGGGGAGUACGACCGCAAGGUUGAAACUCAAAGGAAUUGACGGGGGCCCGCACAAGCGGUGGAGCAUGUGGUUUAAUUCGAAGCUACGCGAAGAACCUUACCAGGUCUUGACAUCUUGCGCCAACCCUAGAGAUAGGGCGUUUCCUUCGGGAACGCAAUGACAGGUGGUGCAUGGUCGUCGUCAGCUCGUGUCGUGAGAUGUUGGGUUAAGUCCCGCAACGAGCGCAACCCCUUGUUACUAGUUGCCAGCAUUCAGUUGGGCACUCUAGUGAGACUGCCGGUGAC
rnacentral:rRNA from 2 species